rfam:Canis lupus familiaris chromosome 9, whole genome shotgun sequence.
GUCUACGGCCAUACCACCCUGAACGCGCCCGAUCUCGUCUGAUCUCGGAAGCUAAGCAGGGUCGGGCCUGGUUAGUACUCGGAUGGGAGAACUUAGAGGAAAUGGCAACAUUCAGAGUAACCGUGAAGU